ACUCCUACGGGAGGCAGCAGUGGGGAAUAUUGCACAAUGGGGGAAACCCUGAUGCAGCCAUGCCGCGUGUGUGAAGAAGGCCUUGGGUUGUAAAGCACUUUCAGUAGGGAGGAAGGUAGUGUAGUUAACACCUGCAUUAUUUGACGUUACCUACAGAAGAAGCACCGGCUAACUCCGUGCCAGCAGCCGCGGUAAUACGGAGGGUGCGAGCGUUAAUCGGAAUUACUGGGCGUAAAGCGCAUGCAGGCGGCCUGUUAAGUCAGAUGUGAAAGCCCGGGGCUUAACCUCGGAAUUGCAUUUGAAACUGGCAGGCUAGAGUCUUGUAGAGGGGUUAGAAUUUCAGGUGUAGCGGUGAAAUGCGUAGAGAUCUGAAGG
rnacentral:rRNA from 1 species